UCAAAUUUGAAAUCUGGCUCUCGGGCCCGAGUUGUAAUUUGUAGAGGAUGUUUUUGAUGCGGUGCCUUCCGAGUUCCCUGGAACGGGACGCCAUAGAGGGUGAGAGCCCCGUCUGGUUGGAUGCCAAAUCUCUGUAAAACUCCUUCAACGAGUCGAGUAGUUUGGGAAUGCUGCUCUAAAUGGGAGGUAUAUGUCUUCUAAAGCUAAAUACCGGCCAGAGACCGAUAGCGCACAAGUAGAGUGAUCGAAAGAUGAAAAGCACUUUGAAAAGAGAGUUAAAAAGUACGUGAAAUUGUUGAAAGGGAAGCGUUUAUGACCAGACUUGGGCUUGGUUAAUCAUCUGGGGUUCUCCCCAGUGCACUUUUCCAGUCCAGGCCAGCAUCAGUUUUCCCCGGGGGAUAAAGACUUUGGGAAUGUGGCUCUCCUCGGAGAGUGUUAUAGCCCAUUGUGUAAUACCCUGGGGGGGACUGAGGUUCGCGCAUCUGCAAGGAUGCUGGCGUAAUGGUCAUCAAUGACCCGUCUUGAAACACGGACCAAGGAGUCGUCUUCGUAUGCGAGUGUUCGGGUGUCAAACCCCUACGCGUAAUGAAAGUGAACGCAGGUGAGAGCUUCGGCGCAUCAUCGACCGAUCCUGAUGUUCUCGGAUGGAUUUGAGUAAGAGCAUACGGGGCCGGACCCGAAAGAAGGUGAACUAUGCCUGUAUAGGGUGAAGCCAGAGGAAACUCUGGUGGAGGCUCGCAGCGGUUCUGACGUGCAAAUCGAUCGU
rnacentral:rRNA from 1 species